rnacentral:rRNA from 1 species
UGCAGUCGAACGAACUCUGGUAUUGAUUGGUGCUUGCAUCAUGAUUUACAUUUGAGUGAGUGGCGAACUGGUGAGUAACACGUGGGAAACCUGCCCAGAAGCGGGGGAUAACACCUGGAAACAGAUGCUAAUACCGCAUAACAACUUGGACCGCAUGGUCCGAGUUUGAAAGAUGGCUUCGGCUAUCACUUUUGGAUGGUCCCGCGGCGUAUUAGCUAGAUGGUGGGGUAACGGCUCACCAUGGCAAUGAUACGUAGCCGACCUGAGAGGGUAAUCGGCCACAUUGGGACUGAGACACGGCCCAAACUCCUACGGGAGGCAGCAGUAGGGAAUCUUCCACAAUGGACGAAAGUCUGAUGGAGCAACGCCGCGUGAGUGAAGAAGGGUUUCGGCUCGUAAAACUCUGUUGUUAAAGAAGAACAUAUCUGAGAGUAACUGUUCAGGUAUUGACGGUAUUUAACCAGAAAGCCACGGCUAACUACGUGCCAGCAGCCGCGGUAAUACGUAGGUGGCAAGCGUUGUCCGGAUUUAUUGGGCGUAAAGCGAGCGCAGGCGGUUUUUUAAGUCUGAUGUGAAAGCCUUCGGCUCAACCGAAGAAGUGCAUCGGAAACUGGGAAACUUGAGUGCAGAAGAGGACAGUGGAACUCCAUGUGUAGCGGUGAAAUGCGUAGAUAUAUGGAAGAACACCAGUGGCGAAGGCGGCUGUCUGGUCUGUAACUGACGCUGAGGCUCGAAAGUAUGGGUAGCAAACAGGAUUAGAUACCCUGGUAGUCCAUACCGUAAACGAUGAAUGCUAAGUGUUGGAGGGUUUCCGCCCCUUCAGUGCUGCAGCUAACGCAUUAAGCAUUCCGCCUGGGGAGUACGGCCGCAAGGCU